GCGACCGUGACCUCCCGGAGUCUGGCGUCGCACCUCGUGCCUCCGUCGGCGGUAGCUACCUGGGGCGUUGUGUCGGAGGAGGGCGUGUCCGCACCACCGAGUCAUCCAUUCCACUGGAAACCUUUCCUGCGCACCCAACCGGCAGCGGGUGGUCACCUGCACGGAAUGACGCUGAUCACAGAAGCCAGGAGUGACCCCCGAUGCUGUUGAUGUGAAGGGACUCAUGGCAUGCACUUUAGGGAAUGCCGAGGCCGCAGAGAGGAAGGACCGUAGACGAAAGAGCAACACUGCCAGUGGAAAGACCGCUGCAGGAAACCUGCUGGCAGACGGCAGAGGGCUGACCGAGGGCUGGCACAGCACAUCUGAGGACACCCCAGGGAUCACCAACAAGACUUGGAAAAUGAAUUGAGUCAAGUUGA